GGAACAUGACCCCACUCAGCCAGUGAGAUGCAGACAUGGUGCCCCUGCUUCUGCUGCUGCCCCUGCUGUGGGAGGGGUCCCUGCAGGAGAAGGAAGGCUAUGAGCUCCAAGUGCAAGAAUUGGUGAGGGUGCACGAGGGUCUGUGGGUCUACGUGCCCUGCUCCUUCUCCUACCCGAGGAGUUCUUCCUUCGACGUACUCUACACCUACUGGUACCGAAGUGGGGACAACGUAGGCUACCCUCAUCCUGUGGCCACAAAUUCACGUAAACAAGUGAAGAAGGAGACCCAGGGCCGAUUCUUCCUCAUGGACCCCGAGACUGAUGACUGUUCCCUCAUCAUCAGAGAUGCCAGGAAGAGUGACACUGGAAUCUACGUCUUCCGACUGGAGAAAGGAAAAAAUGUACGAUAUACUUACCAAGAUAAGAAGCUGACAUUGCAGGUGACAGACCAACCAGACAUCCUCACUGUGGAACCUCUGCAGUCUGGCCGCUCCACACAGCUGACCUGCAGCCUGCCAGGGUUCUGCCAAGGGGGAAGCCCUCUUGCCUUCUCCUGGAUGGGAGCUGCUGUUGACUCUCUGAAUCACCAAAACCUCCACUCCUCUGUGCUCACCUUCACCCCGAGGCCCCAGGACCAUGGCACCAACCUUACCUGUGAGGUGAAAUGCCAGAGAUCAAGGGUGACUAUGGAGAGAACCAUCAGGCUCAAUGUAUUCUUUCCCCCACAGCUGCUGGGACCCUCUUGCUCCUGGGAGGAUGGGAGUCUCCACUGCAGCUGCUCCUCUCAAGCCAAGCCGACACCCUCGGUGCACUGGUGGCUGAGGGAGGGGUUGCUGGAGGGGAACCACAGCAACUUCUCCUACACGGUCACCUAUAGCUCCUCGGGGCCCUGGGCCAACAGCUCCCUGAGCCUCCCCAUGGGGCUUGCUGAACUAGGACUCAGCUGUGAGGCAGAGAAUGUCCACGGGGCCCAGAGGUCCAGUGUCCUGCUGCUGCCAGGGAAGUUGGUAUCUGUUUGGAGAGUGGUUCCUGCAGCUCUUGGAGGUGCUGGUGUCACAGCCCUACUCUUCCUGUGCUUGUGUCUCAUCUUGUUUUGCGUAGUGAAAAACCACAGGAGGCAAGCAGCCGGGAGACGAAAGGUCACAAAUGAUGAAGACCCUGUCCUGAGUACAGCCACCUGGGGUUCCCAGCAAAACUGCAGAACAGAUGGGCCCUCAUACCAAGAAUCACCCCCAGGGGACACCUCUGCACAGAGAGAGGAGCAGGAUACCCAGUAUGCCAACCUCAGGUUUCACGGGAGGAAGAAAAGGGAGCCUCAGGACAAGGAGGCUACCAGCACCUGCCUGUACUCAGAGAUCAAGAAGACCAGCCAUUGAGAAUUUGCUCAGAGGGUCCCUGCAGGAGCAGCAAACUCUACACCUACUGGUACAGGCAUGGAGACAACACAGUCUCUGCUGUGGCCACAAACAACCUAAAUAAACCACUGAAGAGGGAGACCCAGGACAGAUUCCUCCUCACAUACCCCAAGACCAACAACUCUUUCCUGAGCAUCAGAGACACCAGGAGGAGUGACACAGGAACCUACGUCUUCCGAGUGGAGAGAGGAAAAAAUAUACAAUAUGCUUACUGAGAUAAGAAGCUGACAUUGCAGGUGACAGAACUGACACAGAAACCAGACAUCCUUAUUGUGGAGCCCAUGAAGUCCAGCCAUCCUACAGAGCUGACCUGCAGCCUGCCAGGGUCCUGCCAAGGGGGAAGACCUGUCGCUGUCUCCUGGGUGGAGGCUGCUGUUGUCUCUCUGAACCACUGGAAGCUCCACUCCUCGGUGCUCACCUUCACUCUGAGGCCUCAGGUCCAUGGCAUUAACCUCACCUGUCAGGUGAAACACCUAUGGUCUUUGGUGACUACAGAGAGAACCAUCUGGCUUAACGUCUUCUAUGCCCCACAGAGCCUCACCAUAGGCAUGUCCUUCAGAAAUGUGACACGUAGGAAAGAACCUCCCUCUCUGGGGCUAAGACCCGAUGCUGGGGCCAUCAUGGAGCUCGGGGGUGUGGGAAUCAGAGCCUGAAUGGGAUCGGAUACAGGAGAGGCAAGGAGGAAAAUCAUCAUCCUCCCUCUCUCUCUUUUUUGGGUGGAUGCUGAUACCUGUGUUCCACACCCUUCUCUCUCUGUGGUCUCUCUCUUUCUUCUAUCUCUGCACUUUUCUCCCCAAAGCCCUCAAGAUUGUGCAAGACACCUCAAUUCCCCUCCUGGAGGGGGAGUCUCUGUAUCUGCUCUGUGUGUCUUACAGCAACCCCCCUGCACAGCUGAGCUGGUUCCAGGGGUCCCCAGCCCUGAACACUAUCCCCAUCUCCAGAACUGUGAUCCUGGAGCUACCCCGAAUAAGGGCUGGGGAAGAAGGAAAGUUCACUUGCCAAGCUCGGCACCCACUGGGCUCCAGAAGUAUCUCAGCCUCUCUGUGGUCUACCCCCCAAGGCUGCUGGGACCCUCCUGCUCCUGAGAGAAAGAGAGUCUGCACUGCAGCUGCUCCUCCCGAGCCCAGCCAACCCCUUUGCUGUGCUGGCAACUAGGGGAGGGGUUCCUGGAGGGGAACCACAGCAACUCCUCCUACAUGGUCACUUCCAGCUCCACUGGGUCUUGGGCCAACAGCUCCCUGAACCUCUGAGAGGGGCUCAGUGUGGGUCUCAGACUCAGCUGCCAGGCAGAGAAUGUCCACGGGGCCCAGAGUGCCAGUGUCCUGCUGCUGCCAGGGAAGUUAGUAUCUGUUUCGAGAGUGGUUCCUGCAGCUCUUGGAGGUGCUGGUGUCAUGGCCCUACUCUUCCUGUGCUUGUGUCUCAUCUUGUUUUGCAUAGUGAAAAACCACAGGAGGCAAGCAGCCGGGAGACGAAAGGUCACAAAUGAUGAAGACCCUGUCCUGAGUACAGCCACCUGGAGACAAAGAAAUGGCUGUGGUGAAGCUGAUGUGGCUACAGCAAGUCAGCAGGUAUGAAGUCCUUUUCACAGAGCAGAAGCAAAAGCUUCAGGGAGGGACUGUUUUGACCAUACAGCUCUGCUGUGACCUUAGAGUGUUUCAGUAGGUCCUCCAGCACCAUGUAGGAUGUGACAGCACCUCCCACAGGCCCCCCAAUUCUUCACCAGAUUAAUUCUUCAGGGUAAAACUGGGUGUGCUAGGGAGUUGACCCCACCUCUGUCCUUUGCACACCCCUUCCUGACUAUCUUGUCAUAGACAGCACAUCCCAAACCUUCCCCCCUAGCAUUCACCUCCUCACCCAGCUUCUCUUCAUGCCCUAUGUUCCUUAAACAUUGUAUAGUGUUUCCUGCAAAAGUCUUAGCUAAUUGAGGUCCCCCUCCAGGAGGCCACACUCUCUGGCUUCACUCUGUGCACCCCUUGCUUCAUGUACCCCUCCUGUCCUUCAAACCUGACUUCUUGCACAGAUAUGUAUUGAGAGAGUGAAAUGAAGAAAGAGCUCAUAGUCUCCCUCCUCUAUAUAGUUCGUUUCAUUUAAUUUUUUCAAAAGAAAAGUCUAAAACAAAAACAGGCAGAAUGUCAUGAAAGGUACCAGAGUGUAUGUGCCUAACAGUAAUCUCUCUGAUUGUGAGGACAGUAGUCUUCCUUAUGUGUGGGGGAGAUAUUUCAAGAUCCCCAGUUUUGCCUGAAACCACAGUUAGUACUGAAUCUUAUAUAUAUUAUGACUUUUUCUAUACACAACUAUGAUAAAGUUUAAUUGGUGAAGUAGGUACAAUAAAAGAUGAACAAGAGUAAGUAAUAAAACAGAAGAAUUAUAACAAUAUACUCUGAUGAAAGUUAUGUGAAUGUGUUCUGUCCUUCCCUUGAAAUAUCUUCUUUUUGUGUACUCACCCUUCUUCCUGUGUUAGUGUGAGAAGUCACCAUGCCUCUGUGAUGAGAUACAAGGAGGUGUAUGAUGUAGAUGAUGAAACAUGAGACUGCUAUAAGGGUGACAUGUACACAGGCAUGUGUUACAUGACAGUCGAUCUGAUACCCCAAUGUAUCAGGUAUCACUUAAUAUCUAGAUGUAUCCAAAUAGCUUUGUUUUCUUUUCAUUUUUCAUAGCCUAUGCCUAUGGUUAUUGUUUUUCUAGACUAAGACCUGAUGCUACUGCUUAGGUGUGAUGUUUGCUGAAGACACCCUCUAUCUCGUUAGGGAAAUCAUCCUUCAUUCCUAGUUGACUGUGAGUUUUAUCACAAAGGCACUUCAAAUCACCCACUGCUCUUUGUUUUAUCUCUUGAGAGUUAAUCAGCCAAAAGCAAACCAGGAACACAGAAGCCCCGCUAUGGAUUUCAGCAGCAGGAAUUCAACAUGAGGAAUUUGUUAUGCUGAUGUUGGAGCACACAUGGAGCCAGAACGGAACUCUGUCUUCUAAUCUAAUCUAUGUACCCAGCCUCAAUGUUCUAUAUAUAUAUAUAUAUAAUUAACAUAUAACUACGAUAUAUAUGUAGACACACAUCUGUACAGUGACGUGCUUACUACAAUAUGUCUUGUCAAAUAUCCAUCACCAGAUAGUUACACAUUUUUUGUAAUGAUAAUUUCAACAUUUUUCUCUUAGCAAUAUGCUCUCUUAGCAACUUUUAAAUAUAUAACAUGGUAUUAUUAACUAUAGUAUUACAGUUAAUACCCACUAUUAUUAACUAUAGUCACCAUGCUGUACAUUACACCCUCAUGCUUUAAUUAUCUUAUAACUGUAAGUUUGUACUUUUCACCACCCUCAUCCCUUUUGCCCUGCCCGCACCCUCAGCCUCUGGCCACUACCAAUCUGUUGUUUGUAUCCAUGAGUUUGAAUUUUAACAAUGUUUUUACAUAUAUUUGAAACUAUAUGGUAUUUGUCUUUCUCUGUCUGAUACCUCACUUAGCAUAAUGCCAUCAUGAUCCAUCCAUGUUGCCACAAAGGCAGGAUUUCCUAGUUUUUUUUGGCAGACUAGUAUUCCAUUUGUAUACACCACAUUUUCUCCAUCCAUUCAUUUAUAAAUGGACACUUAGAUUGCUUCUACAUCUUGGCUAUUAUAAGUGAUUCUGCAGUGAAUGUAGGGGUGCAUAUGUUAAUGUUUUCAUUUCUUCCAAAUAAAUGCACAGAAGUGGCAUUGCUGGAUGUUAUCAGAGCUCCGUUUUUAAUUUUUGAAGAACUGCCAUAAUGAUUUACAUAGCUGCUGCCCCAACUCACAUUCUCAGCUACAUUGCAAGAGGGUUCCCCUUUAGGACAUUCUUGCCAACACUUACUAUUUCUUGAGAUCUUCUAGACUGCUUGGGGAUGUGAAUUGUGGGGAGAACAACCACAGAAAUCCUGCUUCCUUUAGUCCUUUGCUUGUACAAGACAGUCUUCUUUGCAAUGUGUGGGGAGUCUGGGGUGGGCGGGGAGUAGAGCUGGUUACCUCUGCUUCACAUGUUCCCUAUGGCAGGGGCAGAUCCAAUUUUGUGAAGCUUGAUAUUUAUACUGAUGUUGAGAUCACUGCUUCAAAAUAAAAAAGCAACAUGUGGCACCUAUGAA